rnacentral:tRNA from 1 species
AGUAGCUCAAUGGUAGAGCAUCCGGCUGUUAACCGGAGGGUUGCUGGUUCGAGUCCAGCCU